UACGUAGGGGGCGAGCGUUGUCCGGAUUUAUUGGGCGUAAAGAGCUCGUAGGCGGUUCGAUAAGUCAGGUGUAAAAACUCCAGGCUCAACUUGGAGAGGCCACCUGAUACUGUCGUAACUAGAGUCCGGUAGAGGAGCACGGAAUUCCUGGUGUAGCGGUGAAAUGCGCAGAUAUCAGGAGGAACACCAGCGGCGAAGGCGGUGCUCUGGGCCGGAACUGACGCUGAGGAGCGAAAGCGUGGGGAGCGAACAGG
rnacentral:rRNA from 1 species